UCUCUUCAGGCGCCUACCGCGGCUGGCAAGUCCCUGCUGGCAGAGCAGCGGAGGUCCCCGAAUCAACUUUCAAUUCCCCCUCUGCUUCUGCCUCACCAUUCUCUUCUCCGUGAAAGAUGGCUGUUUGGAGAAGGGGGCGAAGUUAGGGGGUCCUCGGCGCGGGGCGAAGGAGGGCGCGACAGCCUCGGCGGGAGCGGACGGAGGUUUCCCCUUUCCCAGCCUCUCGUGGACCAGCGUUGCCAGCUGAAGGAAGGUUGUGAAUCUGCAUCCCAGCCCAUUAGUCCUUCUCCUGAUUCCCGUGAUGAGUUCACCAGUGCAGCCUGGUCAGUUUGGUUGUUUCUUAAGCUAUUAACAGAUGUAAUAUGAAAGAUGUUGCUUUGUGUUGCUUCAAACCAAGCAAUUUAACUUAUGAAAGGACUUUUUAUUCUGAUGAGGAUGUGUGGAUACAAUGAAUUUUGAAUUUUGUGUUCUAUAGCUAAUCCUUUGUUAUGUAACCAUCUUGCUUUCCAGGCAAUUAAUUUCAUUUGAAUUAUUAUCUGAGCACUGGGCUUUAGUUCUUCUGCUAAUGUAACAUUUGGAUUGAAUUUUAUGAAGUUAUAAAUAUUUAUUAAAUAUGUUGUAGGCAUCUAAUUCAUAUCCAUAGUCUUUCUGAGUCCGUGUCUGUAUGUUUUAAAUUGUGUCAUAGGCUUUGGAUAUCAGCUUGUGGACUCAUUUUCCUCCUCCUUCUCUUUGACACACAGGAAGGAUAUUUCUCCUCCCUGCCCUUCUUUGCUGCCACUCCUGUUUCCUACAUACAUGUUUAAUUAUAAUCUCAGCACCUGCUUCCUCUGAGUCCAGUGUAAUGUGUGGCUCAUGUAGUGUUGUGAUAAGCACAGCCAACACCCAUUUCUCCAGGAACAGGGUGUCACUUUGGGAACAAACACAAUCCAAGUCUUAAAAAUGAUGGAGUAGUUUCAGAUAUCAUAUGUUAAACAUAGAGAAAUUUAAAAAGAAUUUUCUGUUUGAAUCAUUGUAGGAGUAUUUAUUUCUAUAUAUUCUUUAAAAAAAAAUCUCUCAGCACGUUGGUAUCUUUGAGUUAUCCAACUCCUGAGGUUGAAGCUAAUGUAAUAUUUUAUUCAGAGUUUAUAAAGGGAAAUCUUUUGCCAAGAUUUUCAGUCUGUGGAGUGCCACACCCAGAUCAGCUGCUCUGGAAUUCCAAUGUCUCAUCAACCUUUCCCAGAGCCCCAACAGGCUGCCAGCUUGUAUGUUGAAUUUGGAACUGAAAGGUUUUGGCGCGUACAACUGUAAUUGUUGAUUCUAAAUGAUGUAGUAAAGAUAUUCCAGAAUCUUUCUUCACAAUCAUGAUUUAUAAUUGGCGUUGUCAUCUGAAUAAGCACAUGAAGAGUUACACAGGCCUCUUAUCUCUGAGUCCUUGCAGUGCAGUGUUUCUCCAACUUUAGCAUCACUGGGAGGGCUUGUUAAAAUCAAGCCCCAUUCUCAAAGUUUUUGAUUCAGUAGAUCUUAGGUGGGUCCCAGGAAUUGUGAUACUUAUAAGUUUCCCCCCGGUGAGGCUACUGCUGCCUGAGGACUACACUUUGGAAAGCACUGAUCUAGCUUGCUAGUCCCGUUCCUUCCUCCACCUCUGCUUGCCUCCAUCCUCUCCUCCCUCCACACCCCCACCCUUACAGGCAGCCCUCUGUGCAUUACUUAUCACAAUUAUGGUGUAUUAUUACUGUCCUUUCUAUUGAGUUGGACUUAAAAUGAUGUGUGUGUUUUAUAUAUGCAUAUAUUACAUUUAAAUAUACAUUAUAUAUUGAUUUGUAUAUAACUUUAAUGUUUCAAAAUUACAUAAUUUAAAAGAGGCAUUUAAUUUAGAACUACCAUAGUCAAACAUUUUUUUUUCUUGUGGUAGAAUAUGUUAGAGUCAUUAAAAACAUAUUACAAGCAAUUGGAACAAAUUGGCUAAGUAUGAAUGUGGCAGAAAAUUUCCUCCAUUUCUAAAGUUACUGUCUAAAAUUUAUAUAGGGGAUUGUCUUUAAUUGUAAAGGACAGAAACUAGACUUUUAUAAAAUUGUCCUUGUCCCUUUAUUCUCUGCCUUCCUCCCCCAUAUCCUGUCCACAUUGUUUACCUCCCAGUUUUACUUCACAGAAGAGUGGCAGGGCAGAUUGAACCAUGGGAAAAUGGAAUUUUUGACAGUGACAGCAACUGUAUCCAAGUGAAACAUUUGAAAUGGCAUUUCUAUGUAAUCAUUAAAUGGGUAAAAAGUGCAGAUACCCUUGAUGG
rnacentral:lncRNA from 1 species